GCCCAGACGUUGAACAAGAGGAGUAGCAAAAAACUGCGUUAGAGAGAGGGAAUCAAAGCUGAGAGAUUUCUACGCAAGUUUUGUGAAGGUAGCUUGGGAGUCUUUGAUGGGACAAGUUCGUUUCAUCAAACGUUUCGUGAUCGUUACCUCACGCUUAAGAGGUAGAGAAAUCUACAAAUUAGGUGGUACCGCGUAAAUUUACGUCCUAAGA
rnacentral:ncRNA from 1 species